UACGUAGGGUGCAAGCGUUGUCCGGAAUUAUUGGGCGUAAAGAGCUUGUAGGCGGUUUGUCGCGUCUGCUGUGAAAUUUCGGGGCUCAACCCCGAACUUGCAGUGGGUACGGGCAGACUAGAGUGUGGUAGGGGAGACUGGAAUUCCUGGUGUAGCGGUGAAAUGCGCAGAUAUCAGGAGGAACACCGAUGGCGAAGGCAGGUCUCUGGGCCUGACCUGACGCUGAGGAGCGAAAGCGUGGGGAGCGAACAGG
rnacentral:rRNA from 1 species